rnacentral:rRNA from 1 species
AGCAUCAGUGAGUUUGAUCCUGGCUACAGAACGAACGCUGGCGGCAUGCCUAACACAUGCAAGUCGAACGAGACCUUCGGGUCUAGUGGCGCACGGGUGCGUAACGCGUGGGAACCUGCCUUUAGGUUCGGAAUAACAGUGAGAAAUUACUGCUAAUACCGGAUGAUGUCUUCGGACCAAAGAUUUAUCGCCUUUAGAUGGGCCCGCGUUGGAUUAGCUAGUUGGUGGGGUAAAGGCCUACCAAGGCGACGAUCCAUAGCUGGUCUGAGAGGAUGAUCAGCCACACUGGGACUGAGACACGGCCCAGACUCCUACGGGAGGCAGCAGUGGGGAAUAUUGGACAAUGGGCGAAAGCCUGAUCCAGCAAUGCCGCGUGAGUGAUGAAGGCCUUAGGGUUGUAAAGCUCUUUUACCCGAGAUGAUAAUGACAGUAUCGGGAGAAUAAGCUCCGGCUAACUCCGUG